CCCUCUUUCCAGGGGAUUCCUGGAUUGCCUGGAGGUCCUGGAGCAGCAGGCCCAAAGGGAGAGGCAGGAGACCGUGGAGGAAAGGGGGUGCGCGGCCCUCCAGGGCCCUCGGGUGAGGCGGGAUUGGCCGGGAUGCCGGGACCUGCCGGAAAAGCUGGAUCAAAGGCA